rnacentral:RNase_P_RNA from 1 species
UCAGUUGACCGGGUGGCCGCACCGCAAGGUGAGGAAAGUCCGGGCUCCAUCGAAAUACGGUGACGGCUAACGGCCGCCGGGGGCGACCCUAGGGAAAGUGCCACAGAGAGCAGACCGCCCAUCUCCGGAUGGGUAAGGGUGAAAGGGUGCGGUAAGAGCGCACCGCGGGCCUGGCAACAGGACCGGCACGGCAAACCCCACCGGGAGCAAGACCAAAUAGGGAUGACACGGGGCAACCCAGCCGAUUUCGAGGCCUGUCAUCCGGGUUGGUUGCUUGAGGUGCCUCGUAACAGGCGCCCCAGAGGAAUGGCCAUCACGCCGGCGCAAGCCGGCCCUACAGAACCCGGCUUACAGGUCAACUGGCGCC